rnacentral:rRNA from 1 species
GACGAACGCUGGCGGCGUGCCUAAUACAUGCAAGUAGAACGCUGAAGGAGGACUUUGCCCUUCUGGAUGAGUUGCGCACGGGUGAGUAACGUGUAAGUAACCUGCCUAGUAGCGGGGGAUAACUAUUGGAAACGAUAGCUAAUACCGCAUAACAGUGGAUGUUGCAUGACAUUUGCUUAAAAGGAGCCAUUGCACCACUACUAGGUGGACCUGCGUUGUUUUAGCUAGUUGGUGGGGGAAAGGCGCACAAAGGCGACGAUACAUAGCCGACUUGGGAGGGGGGUCGGGCAACCUGGGAAUUGGACCAGGCCCAGGCCCCCUAGGGAGGGAGCAGGAGGGGAACAUUGGACAUAGACGGAAGGCUUACCGAAGAACGGCGCGGGGGGGAAGAAGGGUUUCGGGUCGUAAAGCUCCGUUGUAAGGGGAGAACGGGUGGGAGGGUGAAAAGUUCACACUGUGACGGUAUCUUAACAGAAAGGGACGGCUAACUACGUG